rnacentral:tRNA from 1 species
AUUUAAAUAGUUUAAUUUAAAAAUAAUAAUUUGUGGAAUUAUAGAUUAUAAUGUUUUAUAUUUAAAU